AGCUAAAUCAAUCCAUCGGUCAUCCAUUCAGAGUUUAGCCUCAGCUUCAGCCGACACUCUUCCGUCUUCACUCAUUUCAUUUUCUUCUUCUGCUUCUCGACCUCCUUUGUCCAUCUCUUCAAUUUUGUCAAGUUGAACUCAAGCCUGCAAGCCUCAGCCCUCAAGCAGACGAUUCAACAGUGUUUCGAUUUCGAUUUCUCAAGCCUCAAGCAGAAGCUGUAAAACGCCGACCUUCUUCAUCUGCAAGUUUGGACCUUCUUUAAUUGAUGGCUAUCCAGCUUCUUCAGGUGAUGGUGUAUAUUACGUGUAGGUUUGGACUUUAUUAAAAUUUUGGUUGGAGUGAUUACAGUACACUACUCCUUGCUCGAUGCUAGGAGGUGUGAAAUUGUUGUUACAAUACCUCUUUUGAUGGCUUUCUAUAUUCUUGGCACUUCCACUCCUUGUGUUAAUAUUGCUUCGACACAAUACCUCUGUUUAGGUCCCUGUUAUGUGUUUGGCAAUUCUCCAGCUUCUCUAUGCUCCUUGCACAAUCAAUCUGUUUUGUUAAUCAUUUUGAUUACGCACUUCAGGCAGUUGCUUUUGGUUUUUGAUAGGGUACUCCGUGACUCUGGCCUUCCUACUUAAUACUACUGUGCCAUAAUACAGAGUGGUCAGGGGUUGAAGUACCAUUCCCUAAUGAUGCAAUUAUCUUUUCUUUAA
rnacentral:lncRNA from 1 species